rnacentral:lncRNA from 1 species
GGGUUUAGAGAUGGUUUCCUAUAGACCCUCGGCUCAAAAAAAGAGUUUCUGAAGCAGAUCUGCUAGAAAAAUAUGUCAGCAAAAGAGCAAGAGAUGAAGCAGGGAAGCAACAAAGAGUAAUAUACAUUAAAAAUAAGAGAACACACGACUACUUAAUAAUACUACUGAACUGAGGAAUACAGAGGAAACAUAUGUAUUUGUUGUCAUUCUCCUAAAUUAGCAAAAGAGAAUCUCAAGAACUAUUAUGAGAAUCCUCAAUUACAAUCUAAAAAUAUAAGUAUUAGAUAACUUUAAGCUCAAGAUUACACACUAAGAAGAGAAAGAGGCAAUUGAGAAAACUUGCCUAACGAAAAGAUUCGCAAUACUCAUAUCUCAUAAGUAGGUUGUCAGGUCAUUUGAGAAUCCUUGUUCUAGUAUCACACGAUCCAGUAUAAACCAAGCGCUAACUAUGAUAGCAAAAGAGAAUCUCAAGAACUUUAAGGGACCACAUUCCCAUCAACUUUUUGAACAAAAGUAAGCAAUUUCUUGUUUUUUUGGAUUAAAAAAAAGGGUAGAUAAAUCACUGACUUUUAUAUAAAGAACAUAGAAAUACACAUAACUGAAAAAGUCACAUUAGUUGAAAAUCGAGAAAUAGGAUCAACCUUUGUUACAAGGAUACUGCAGUUCUCCAGACUAUUGCACUAAGAAAAGUGAAUUUUGCACCUCCCAGACCAGCCAUGUGCAAUCUGUUAGUGGAUGGUCAUGAGGACUAUGCUAGAAACAUAUUUCACUUAUUCAACAAUGUUAAAAGCACUUGAUAAUGAAGAUUAGAUAUAAGUUUGUCAAGAAACAAUAGAGAUGGCUUAUGAAUUAUGUUAAUCUCGAUUGAGACUCUUCAUGUUCUCCCCAGUGCACUCCUUUUCUUCCUUCAUCUCCAAUGUAUUGUGUUAGCAUGCACAUAGAAAAAUACAUUUUGCAUUAUCAAAUUACGAAAAAAAUAACUUUGAAACUAAUGCUAUAACCUAUACAACAUGCUAUAUAACUUAACUCCUUUGGUUGAUAGUAGGACUUUUUGGGGUGUGGGGAUUUAAAAUGAAGAAAAUAGUGAAAAACUGUAGAAAUAGUAUUUUUAUUCAAAGUAUUCUGCUAUCACCUGUUUCUCCAUCCAUUAAGAUCGGAGUAUAUUUUUCUCAAGUGAUAGUUAUUAAAAAAAAAGCGUCAAAAACAUGAUAUUACUUCAAUCGGUUAUUCGUACUUUGAGUGUUGUUGUGUGAUUCUUCUAUGGUCUUAUCAUAAAAGACAAUAAUAUAGAUUUAAGCUUUAUUUUCAAGCAUCAUUGUAGAUUCCAAAUAUAUUGGGAUUCAUAUUAGGUGUACUGCAACAUUUGAAAGAUAAUACAUCUUUACAUGAGUAUAAUGGCUUUCCUUGAGUAUUUAAAAAGUUCAUGAACAGAUCUUGGCUAAUUAAGAACCUGAAAAAUGCACACUAUAAUUGCUUUACAUGUUUCAUUUCAAAAGCAACAGAAUAUAAAAGUUUAGAUUCCAUCUCUUACAAACAUAUCAUCAAUACAUUAGGUGCAUUAUCCGCCUCAAAUUAGUUGUUAAUCAACACAAAAUACAUCAAAAAGACACAAUGCAUGUGAAAAUCAGGAACAACUGCUAACAUGCAUAUAAAACUUCUAGUAGACAUUGUAAUCAAAGGAAUUAUAUCUCUCUAAUUUAUCAUGAUGAUGCAUCUUCAAGUGAUUGCAUAAUAUAUAUAGACUAGACUAAUUAGUUAAAUCCAACUACUAAUUUAAUAUAUUUUUUAACAUAAGCUUAUAUUAUAUUUAAGGAAAAUAAAAAAGAAGGGAACAUUUUAUUUUCCAAGUUGAGUACUUGGUUUGUGUAAAUUGUAGAAACUAGUUACAGUAGUCCGUGCUAGCACGGUUCCAACAUAUAUUUUUAUUUUUUAUUUUAAUUUAUGUGACAUUAAUAAAAUUUUAACGGUCAAACAAUUUUUUUGUAUGUUCUUUAAAUUUUAAGUUGUUGAUUAUUGUGGUUAAUAAUACUUUAUAUGUAAUUUUCAAUAUUCUCUUUGUCCCAAUUUAUGUGUCAUUGAUAGAAUUUCGAAAGUCAAGCAAAUUUUGUAUAUGUCUUUUAGAUUUUGAAGUUAUUUAAUUAUUAUGAGUUAUAGUACAUUUUACGUAUAUGUUACUUUUUCUAUCCCAAACUAUGUGACAUUAGUAGAAUUUUGAGAGUUGAUCAAAAUUUUUGUAUGUCCUUUAAAUUUUGAAGUUGCUAAUUAUUGUGUGAUUUGUAGUACGUUUCAUGUUAUUUCAAAUAAUAUAUGUUAUUUCCUCUAUCCUAAUUUAUAUGGCACUAAUAGAUUUGAGCUUCAACCAAAUUUUAUAGAUGUCUUUAUAAUAUUUUAGGGUUUAAUUACCUCUUUCUGAUUUUUAAUCCAUUAAUAUACUUUCUUCACAAUUAUCAGUAGAGCUACCUUUCAGUGUUGAUGGUUUAGCAACAUACCCUUAAAAGAACAGAGCAACGAAAGCUUCCUCUUAUUGUUUAUUGUGCGUCUUAUUAAGUAAAAAGUAUUCUAAUUAAUUCUACUAAAGAUUCACUAAUUGAAUGCUGAGAGAAAUUAAUUAAUGUGAGAAAAGUACUGAAAGAAAGACUUAAUCCUACUCCAUCCGUCCAAUAAUUAUUGUCUAUUAUACUAUUUUGGAAUGUCCUACAAUACUUGUCCACUUUAUGAAAUCAAUGGAUAGUUUACCCCUUAUCAUUAAUUAUAGUCAUUUUUCAAUUAUAUUUUUUAAUACAUUAUAUUUAUUAUAUUUAAAGAAUGAUAUAGUAAUAUUACUCUUUUAUUUAUAAUUUCUUAAAAAAUGUAUAAAGUCAAUACUGGAGAAAUAUUAUUGGUGAGAGAAUAGUUGAUAUCAGUCACCAAAGCAAUACAACUAAGUAGUAAUAAGUGGGGGGCAUGUUUUCAAAAAGUUGUGCGAAUUAUUUGUAGUUUUAAGGGGACAAAUUAGUCCAAUCGAUACAAAAAAGGAAAUGCAGCUGCACUACUCCUUUAACUAACCAAUUGAAUUACAUUUUUCAUGUGAAAUUACAAAAAUAACAUCUGAGGAUUUUUUUGUCAAGUCCCAUAAACGGGAAGCUCCUCACAUUCACUCUUAUUAAUAGUAGUAAUAAUAUAAUAAUUUUCAAAGUUGAAUUAGAUUGUAUUAAUUUGAUAUUUUAAACAAAAAAUUUAAAUAUGCAAAAUCUAUACAAAAAGUACUAUAAAUUGUAAUUUUUUGCAUAUGAAUAUGAUGAAAAAACAUAUUGUAAAAUAUUAGUUAAAAUUCUUAUAGUUUGACUCUAAAAGGAAAUACAUAACAAUUAAAAGUAGUAUAGAGAGAGUAAUAAAUAGGUAAUUAAAUUUCAAGAAGUUUAAAAAUAAAAGGUUGAAAAAAAGAAUAAGAUAGACAACAUAUAUUGAAAUUAGAAACAUAUAAAUAAUAAAUGGGCCCAAAUGAGGUCUAACUUUUCGGUCUAAUAAAGUAGUAGGUAAUUAAUGGUGUUAAUUGUCCAAUAAUAUAAAUUUUAAAGGUACAAUCAUAAAAAGAAGAAUGUACAACACUAUCUAAGCACAUAUCAUCCAACAGUACAUAUUCCCACUUAUUAUAUAUAGUAAAAAAUAUAGUGAAAUCUACGAAGAAAGAAACAUAACAAAAUAUUGUUAGUGCUAUCAGGCAUAUUAUCGAAUACCUUGAGUGCGCAAAGUGCCAUAGCAUAGAGAAGUAGUGAAAUAUGAAAUUCAUUUGCCAAAACUUCUCCAAAUAUUAACCCUUGCAAAAGAAGUAGAUUAGGAACAAUACAAAGGCAUGGAAAAAGUCUUCUAAAAACAGAGAA